rnacentral:rRNA from 1 species
CGCCUUGCCAGCCCGCUCAGAACUUAAAGGAAUUGACGGGGCCGCACAAGCGGAGGAGCAUGUGGUUUAAUUCGAUGAUACGCGAGGAACCUUACCUGGGCUCGAACGUAAGAUGACUGUAGGUGAAAGCUUACAUCUCUUCGGAGCAUUUUACGAGGUGCUGCAUGGUUGUCGUCAGCUCGUGCCGUGAGGUGUCGGGUUAAGUCCCAUAACGAGCGCAACCCCUACCUUUAGUUGCCAUCAGGUUAAGCUGGGGACUCUAAAGGAACUGCCUACGCAAGUAGUGAGGAAGGCGGGGAUGACGUCAAAUCAGCACGGCCCUUACGUCCAGGGCUACACACGUGCUACAAUGGCCGAUACAGAGGGCAGCUACCUGGUGACAGGAUGCAAAUCUCCAAAGUCGGUCUCAGUUCGGAUCGGAGUCUGCAACCCGACUCCGUGAAGUUGGAUUCGCUAGUAAUCGCGCAUCAGCCAUGGCGCGGUGAAUACGUUCCCGGGCCUU